UACCAGCACCCCGAGUGGUCGGGACGUUUAUUGGGCCUAAAGCAUCCGUAGCCGGUUCUACAAGUCUUCCGUUAAAUCCAGCUGCUUAACAGAUGGGCUGCGGAAGAUACUAUGGAGCUAGGAGGCGGGAGAGGCAAGCGGUACUCGAUGGGUAGGGGUAAAAUCCGUUGAUCCAUUGAAGACCACCAGUGGCGAAGGCGGCUUGCCAGAACGCGCUCGACGGUGAGGGAUGAAAGCU
rnacentral:rRNA from 1 species